rnacentral:lncRNA from 1 species
AUUAGCUGUGCCCUGCAAACAUCAUUAGGAAGGGAGACGCUUUCCACCGUCAGCGCCGGAGCAGAGCAGGGGAGCCCUGGCAACAAGGAGAGACAAACUCAGCAGCCCGUUACACCCUACAGGAAUAGUGACAGCACCUGCAGACACACAGACGUGGACAGACGGCGCAGGCACCCCGGAACGCUUCCCUCCCGCUGGUGGAGAGAUUCAGACUUCACACCAGGAACUGCAGCUCCAGUCGGUUGUCAGCUCUCCACUGAGCAGCAGGCUCCACCUACUCCGCCCAAGCAGCUCUGCCUCCUCGGCUCAGGGAGUGCUGAGUCCCUGAGUCAACACACUGCAUUCUGGGAAAGUCUGGAACCCUCUCCAUGGGCUGUACCACCUGCUGACAAACCAGGGGGGUCUGGAGGAGUUGAAUGAGGAUUGUGCUGGGUGUGGGCAGGCUUGCUUUUGCAAGGAAAUGAUUCCGCAUGAAGUGCGACGCACUCGGCCCCCCGUCGUCCUCGGCGGCAGCAGCAGGUGUGACGUCGUGACUCUCUCCCCUACCACACUGAGCUCACCCUUCAGCCGCUAAAGACCUCUGGACCAAACAGACCGCCCAACCCCUCCCCUCCCCUCCACCCCUUCAUAUCUUCAUCUCCAUCUUUAAUCCCUCCUCACCUGCUUGUUAGGGCCUGGAUUUUCUUUAUUAUCAAGAAAAGACCUGAUUAUUAUCGGCCUUGGGUGAACUGGAUAGAGAAGGAAAGAGAGAUCAGAUUUGGAAAGUUAAUUCACAGCUAAUUAAAACGAGAAAAGGGACGGAUCAUCAAAUGUGAGAAAAAGACAGGAACGUGAAAUAUAAAGUCAGAGAGAAAAAGAAAAGAAAAAGGUAUCGAAGGCCAAAAGUUAAGGAACGAUAACGCAAGUACAGUUGAG